GUGGGGAAUUUUGGACAAUGGGGGCAACCCUGAUCCAGCCAUGCCGCGUGCGGGAAGAAGGCCUUCGGGUUGUAAACCGCUUUUGUCAGGGAAGAAAUCUCCUGGGCUAAUACCUCGGGGGGAUGACGGUACCUGGAGAAUAAGCACCGGCUAACUACGUGCCAGCAGCCGCGGUAAUACGUAGGGUGCAAGCGUUAAUCGGAAUUACUGGGCGUAAAGCGUGCGCAGGCGGUCGUGCAAGACAGAUGUGAAAUCCCCGGGCUCAACCUGGGAACUGCAUUUGUGACUGCACGACUGGAGUGCGGCAGAGGGGGAUGGAAUUCCGCGUGUAGCAGUGAAAUGCGUAGAUAUGCGGAGGAACACCGAUGGCGAAGGCAAUCCCCUGGGCCUGCACUGACGCUCAUGCACGAAAGCGUGGGGAGCAAACAGGAUUAGAAACCCCAGUAGUCC
rnacentral:rRNA from 1 species